rfam:Ovis aries breed Texel unplaced genomic scaffold TnplacedScaffold_004081852.1, whole genome shotgun sequence.
UCCCUGAUGGUUCAACAGUAGAGAAUCUGCCUGUAAUGCAGGAGUUGCAGGUUCAAUCCCUGUGUCGGGAA